GGGAGCCUUCGUUCCGGCCGCGAAGCUCCCCACAUCUCAGUAAGGUGCCUGGUGGUGGUCUCGUGCUGACGAUGCCCUCUCGGUUUCCCUUCAGUAGGAAAUUGCUGGACAGGCGGACCAGCGCACCGGAAUUGUACUGGCGAAUGCACAAGCAAGUCAUAGAAUCUGUUCAAUUGUUGCACUUUCAACAAUCAUGCUUCCAUAAAGGCCACAGCAGGAAACAGCCUGAUGCCCAGUAUUUCUGUGCCACGAAGCAAUCAAGAGCUCCCUCAUGCAGACUCCGCAAGCCAAGAGGCCAUGUAGGCAAAUGCAGGCAGCUCACUUGGAACAGCCACCUUGACGGCAGGUGUGUCACCCUAGUUACCAAGGAAGCAUUUGAGGGAAAGCGACAGGCAAUGUGAACAGCCACUUCUCCAUGUAAACGAUACUCUUUCUCUCAAUGGGGCCCUGAACUAAGGGCUCCACCCUGCUAGGAAGUCGCCCAAACUGAUGAUAAAUAAAUGUUUUCUCUCUCUCUC